rnacentral:rRNA from 1 species
CUUAUAUUCUGUAGCAAGGUUAACCGAAUAGGGGAGCCGAAGGGAAACCGAGUCUUAACUGGGCGUUAAGUUGCAGGGUAUAGACCCGAAACCCGGUGAUCUAGCCAUGGGCAGGUUGAAGGUUGGGUAACACUAACUGGAGGACCGAACCGACUAAUGUUGAAAAAUUAGCGGAUGACUUGUGGCUGGGGGGGAAAGGCCAAUCAAACCGGGAGAUAGCUGGUUCUCCCCGAAAGCUAUUUAGGUAGCGCCUCGUGAAUUCAUCUCCGGGGGUAGAGCACUGUUUCGGCAAGGGGGUCAUCCCGACUUACCAACCCGAUGCAAACUGCGAAUACCGGAGAAUGUUAUCACGGGAGACACACGGCGGGUGCUAACGUCCGUCGUGAAGAGGGAAACAACCCAGACCGCCAGCUAAGGUCCCAAAGUCAUGGUUAAGUGGGAAACGAUGUGGGAAGGCCCAGACAGCCAGGAUGUUGGCUUAGAAGCAGCCAUCAUUUAAAGAAAGCGUAAUAGCUCACUGGUCGAGUCGGCCUGCGCGGAAGAUGUAACGGGGCUAAACCAUGCACCGAAGCUGCGGCAGCGACGCUUAUGCGUUGUUGGGUAGGGGAGCGUUCUGUAAGCCUGCGAAGGUGUGCUGUGAGGCAUGCUGGAGGUAUCAGAAGUGCGAAUGCUGACAUAAGUAACGAUAAAGCGGGUGAAAAGCCCGCUCGCCGGAAGACCAAGGGUUCCUGUCCAACGUUAAUCGGGGCAGGGUGAGUCGACCCCUAAGGCGAGGCCGAAAGGCGUAGUCGAUGGGAAACAGGUUAAUAUUCCUGUACUUGGUGUUACUGCGAAGGGGGGACGGAGAAGGCUAUGUUGGCCGGGCGACGGUUGUCCCGGUUUAAGCGUGUAGGCUGGUUUUCCAGGCAAAUCCGGAAAAUCAAGGCUGAGGCGUGAUGACGAGGCACUACGGUGCUGAAGCAACAAAUGCCCUGCUUCCAGGAAAAGCCUCUAAGCAUCAGGUAACAUCAAAUCGUACCCCAAACCGACACAGGUGGUCAGGUAGAGAAUACCAAGGCGCUUGAGAGAACUCGGGUGAAGGAACUAGGCAAAAUGGUGCCGUAACUUCGGGAGAAGGCACGCUGAUAUGUAGGUGAAGUCCCUCGCGGAUGGAGCUGAAAUCAGUCGAAGAUACCAGCUGGCUGCAACUGUUUAUUAAAAACACAGCACUGUGCAAACACGAAAGUGGACGUAUACGGUGUGACGCCUGCCCGGUGCCGGAAGGUUAAUUGAUGGGGUUAGCGCAAGCGAAGCUCUUGAUCGAAGCCCCGGUAAACGGCGGCCGUAACUAUAACGGUCCUAAGGUAGCGAAAUUCCUUGUCGGGUAAGUUCCGACCUGCACGAAUGGCGUAAUGAUGGCCAGGCUGUCUCCACCCGAGACUCAGUGAAAUUGAACUCGCUGUGAAGAUGCAGUGUACCCGCGGCAAGACGGAAAGACCCCGUGAACCUUUACUAUAGCUUGACACUGAACAUUGAGCCUUGAUGUGUAGGAUAGGUGGGAGGCUUUGAAGUGUGGACGCCAGUCUGCAUGGAGCCGACCUUGAAAUACCACCCUUUAAUGUUUGAUGUUCUAACGUGGACCCGUAAUCCGGGUUGCGGACAGUGUCUGGUGGGUAGUUUGACUGGGGCGGUCUCCUCCUAAAGAGUAACGGAGGAGCACGAAGGUUGGCUAAUCCUGGUCGGACAUCAGGAGGUUAGUGCAAUGGCAUAAGCCAGCUUGACUGCGAGCGUGACGGCGCGAGCAGGUGCGAAAGCAGGUCAUAGUGAUCCGGUGGUUCUGAAUGGAAGGGCCAUCGCUCAACGGAUAAAAGGUACUCCGGGGAUAACAGGCUGAUACCGCCCAAGAGUUCAUAUCGACGGCGGUGUUUGGCACCUCGAUGUCGGCUCAUCACAUCCUGGGGCUGAAGUAGGUCCCAAGGGUAUGGCUGUUCGCCAUUUAAAGUGGUACGCGAGCUGGGUUUAGAACGUCGUGAGACAGUUCGGUCCCUAUCUGCCGUGGGCGCUGGAGAACUGAGGGGGGCUGCUCCUAGUACGAGAGGACCGGAGUGGACGCAUCACUGGUGUUCGGGUUGUCAUGCCAAUGGCACUGCCCGGUAGCUAAAUGCGGAAGAGAUAAGUGCUGAAAGCAUCUAAGCACGAAACUUGCCCCGAGAUGAGUUCUCCCUGACUCCUUGAGAGUCCUGAAGGAACGUUGAAGACGACGACGUUGAUAGGCCGGGUGUGUAAGCGCAGCGAUGCGUUGAGCUAACCGGUACUAAUGAACCGUGAGGCUUAACCUU